rnacentral:rRNA from 1 species
UACGUAGGGUGCGAGCGUUGUCCGGAAUUACUGGGCGUAAAGAGCUCGUAGGUGGUUUGUCGCGUUGUUCGUGAAAACUCACAACUCAAUUGUGGGCGUGCGGGCGAUACGGGCAGACUGGAGUACUGCAGGGGAGACUGGAAUUCCUGGUGUAGCGGUGGAAUGCGCAGAUAUCAGGAGGAACACCGGUGGCGAAGGCGGGUCUCUGGGCAGUAACUGACGUUGAGGAGCGAAAGCGUGGGGAGCGAACAGG